ACCAGGUUUUAAAUGGAUAGCAGCAGCAACUCUGGUGCUAAUACAUGCGAUUGUUUCUCCAGAUGUGAAUUAUGGAGGAAAAGUUGACCUCAUCAGAGGCACGCCAUUCGACUGAGUGACCUAUCAGCUUGUACUUAGGGUCUUUACCUAGGUAGGCUAUCACGGGUAACGGGCGGUUACCGUCGGACUGCCGGAGAAGGCGCCUGAGAGAUAGCGACUAUAUCCACGGGUAGCAGCAGGCGCGAAACUUUCCCACUCGAGACUUUCGGAGGAGGUAAUGACCAGUUCCAUUGGUGCCUUUUGGUACUGUGGAUAGGGGUACGGUUUUCCACCGUACCGAAACCUAGCAGAGGGCCAGUCUGGUGCCAGCAGCUGCGGUAAUUCCAGCUCUGCGAGUUUGCUCCCAUAUUGUUGCAGUUAAAACGCCCGUAGUCUGAAUUGGCCAGCAAUGGUCGUACGUAUUUUUACGUUCACUGUGAACAAAUCAGGACGCUUAGAGUAUGGCCACAUGAAUGACUCAGCGCAGUAUGAAGUCUUUGUUUUCUUCCGAAAACAAGCUCAAUGAGAGCCAUCGGGGGUAGAUCUAUCUCAUGACGAGUGGUGGAAUACUUUGACUCAUGAGAGAGAAGCUGAGGCGAAGGCGUCUACCUAGAGGGUUUCUGUCGAUCAAGGGCGAGAGUAGGAGUAUCCAACAGGAUUAGAGACCCUGGUAGUUCCUACCUUAAACGAUGCCGACAGGAGUUUGUCAUUUGUUAAUGGCAGAAUCUUUGGAGAAAUCAUAGUUCUUGGGCUCUGGGGGAACUACGACCGCAAGGCUGAAACUUGAAGGAAUUGACGGAAGGGCACACCAGGGGUGGAGCCUGUGGCUUAAUUUGAAUCAACACGGGGAAACUUACCAGGACCAGAUGUUUUUUAUGACUGACAGGCUUCGGGUCUUUCAGGAUAUUGUUUUUGGUGGUGCAUGGCCGUUGGUGGUGCGUGGGUUGACCUGUCUAGCGUUGAUUCAGCUAACGAGCGAGAUUAUCGCCAAUUAUUUACUUUGCCGAAGUCCUUCGGUUAAAGUUCUAAUUGGGACUCCCUGCGAUUUUAGCAGGUGGAAGAGGGUAGCAAUAACAGGUCCGUGAUGCCCUUUA
rnacentral:ncRNA from 2 species